UAAUAUCACACUUGUACCACGUCAUCAAUAACAAUCCAAUCAUUUUUUUUUUUAAAUAAAAGUACUAUAAUAAUAAUAUUUUUUCAUAAUCAUCAUGGAACAUAUAUCUCUAAAAGAAAAUAUUUGAUUGGCUUGUUACGCCACGUCACCAAUAUACCCGUUGCAUUCUAAAAUUUUUCUUAUGGUAGAGGAGGAAAAGAAAAAAUAAAAAUAAUAUCUAGUUGUGAAGAAGAAGAUGAAAAAAAAAAAAAAAA
rnacentral:lncRNA from 1 species